GACGAACGCUGGCGGCGUGCUUAACACAUGCAAGUCGAACGGAAAGGCCCUGCGUUUUUGGGGUGCUCGAUUGGCGAACGGGUGAGUAAGACGUGAGUAACCGGCCCUUGACUUUGGGAUAACUUCAGGAAACUGGGGCUAAUACCGUAUAGGAUCUCCUCCUGCAUUGUGGGGGUUGGAAAUUUUCGGCGGGUGGGGAUGGACUCGCGGCUGAUCAGCUUGUUGGUUGGGUAGGGGCUGACCAAGGCAGUGACGGGUAGCCGGCCUGAGAGGGUGAACGGCGACAUUGGGACUGCGAUACGGAGCAGACUCCUACGGGAGGCAGUAGUGGGGAACAUUGCCCAAUGGGAGGGAGCCUGAUGAAGAAACGCCGCGUGCGGGAUGACGGCUUUCGGGUUGUAAACAGCUUUAGGCUGUGACGAAGCGUGAGUGACGGUAAUGGGUAAAGAAGCACCGGCUAACUACGUG
rnacentral:rRNA from 1 species